rnacentral:lncRNA from 10 species
CAGCACACCAGCAUGGCACAUGUAUACAUAUGUAACUAACCUGCACAUUGUGCACAUGUACCCUAAAACUUGAAGUAUAAUACUAAUAAAUAAAUAAAUAAAUAAAUAAAUAAAUAAAUAAAUUUUUUUUUUUUGAGACAGAGUCUCGCUCUGUUGCCCAGGCUGGAGUGCAGUGGUGUGAUCUCGGCUCACUGCAACCUCCGCCUCCCGGGUUCAAGCGAUUGUCCUGCCUCAGCCUCCCGAGUAGCUGGGACUACAGGCACAUGCCACCAAACCUGGCUAAUGUUUUGUAUUUUUAGUAGAGACGGGGUUUCACUGUGUUAGCCAGGAUGGUCUCGAUCUCCUGACCUCGUGAUCUGUCCACCUCGGCCUCCCAAAGUGCUGGGAUUACAAGUGUGAGCUCAGCCUUUUGUUGCUGUUUUUAAUAUCAGGUAUAGUUUUUGAUGUCCAGUCUCCAAUUUGAUCACUCCUGAGAAUACUUAAGUUCCAUUCAACAAGUGUCAGGACCUUCAAGGUUCUUGCCCUCUCCAUCUAAUUGACCACCGUCAAGUCAUUUAACAUCGUCCACAGCCUACUCUGAUCUCUUACGCCAGUGUCCAGGCCUCACCUCACAGAUGCUGUCUUCAGUGUCUGCCUUGUUUCCCACCUGGUCCCUGCUGUCCGUCCAGCCUUGCCUUGUUCCUCUCCCCACCCCACUCCAACUCUGCAUACUUCUGCUUGUCCAAGUCUCCUUCCACACAGACUCCUAAGAGCCUGCCUGCAAGAAGUCGCUGUGCCAAGCAGUUAUUUCCAGAUAGACCCAGACGCUGGGCCGUGUGUGUUCCACAUCUGGCCUGUCCUUCACCUAAGCCACAAGCAUUUUUUUGAGAAUUUCUCAUGCCCCAAUUCCUGUAGAAAAUCCACAUUUACUCCACACUCACUCACCUCACAUAUUGGACAAAUGCAUUGAGGGGCCACCAUGUCUCCAGAGGUAGGCUGCUGAAUUGUGAGUGAUACAGUAGAAAAAUGAUGGAUUUUUUUUCUUCAUUCAGAUCUGGAUCUGAAUCCUGACUGUGUCACUUAUUACCAGAAUGAUUUCAAAAAUUCCUUGCCUUCUGUGAACCGGAGUUUCAUCUUGUAUAAAAUGGAAAUAAAAUACUUCCUUUAUAGGAAUUGUGGGAUUAUUUUUAUUUUUAUUUUAU